GAUGAACGCUGGCGGCGUGCCUAAUACAUGCAAGUCGAGCGAACAGACGAGGAGCUUGCUCCUCUGACGUUAGCGGCGGACGGGUGAGUAACACGUGGAUAACCUACCUAUAAGACUGGGAUAACUUCGGGAAACCGGAGCUAAUACCGGAUAAUAUAUUGAACCGCAUGGUUCAAUAGUGAAAGACGGUUUUGCUGUCACUUAUAGAUGGAUCCGCGCCGCAUUAGCUAGUUGGUAAGGUAACGGCUUACCAAGGCAACGAUGCGUAGCCGACCUGAGAGGGUGAUCGGCCACACGGGAACUGGGACACGGUCCAGACUCCUACGGGAGGCAGCAGUAGGGAAUCUUCCGCAAUGGGCGAAAGCCUGACGGAGCAACGCCGCGUGAGUGAUGAAGGUCUUCGGAUCGUAAAACUCUGUUAUUAGGGAAGAACAAAUGUGUAAGUAAAUAUGCACGUCUUGACGGUACCUAAUCAGAAAGCCACGGCUAACUACGUG
rnacentral:rRNA from 1 species